UUAGCCUACAGUGGUAGUCAAUCUCCAACAAUGGGCAUUAUGACACUUACCUAUGUGUAGUCCUCUCCCCUGGAAUCUAGUCUGGUCCUGUGUCCCAUUUUCAAGUAACAGAAUGCAGUGCAAGUGGCAGUUCAUGUCUUCCUAACCUAUACCAUUAACACUAUCUGGCUUAAACUCCAGGAGGGACCCACCAAGCCAAGCCCCAUGAAUUCACAAAACUACAAGAGAGCAAGUUUGCUUUCUUUACCUUUGAGGCUACGUAACUGUCAACCUCAAGUUACUCAGGAAAUGGAGAACACCUUUCACUGGAUUGCAACCUGGGCCCAUAAUAGUACUGCACUUCCUUGCAGCCUCAGACUUUACAUCAGAAAGUGACGAAUAUACCAAUGGCCAAGUUUUCUUUCAGCUCUGCUUAAGAAUUCACUUGCAACAUACACUGUUAAAAUUUGAAUCUAAGAAAACAAAUCAAUCAUUACCUCAUUUGAAGUCUGUCCUCUCUGUCUUGGGCGACUGUUGUCACUGUGCUGUCGCUGAUCUACCUUAAUGUCUGCCUAGUCAUAGCUCUGUUGAAGGCAUGCUCUGCCUUUCUC
rnacentral:lncRNA from 1 species